GCCCCAAAUCGGUCUCCUUCGUCCGAGCCCUAAAUUGGUCCUCUUCGUCUUGAUUGCACAGGGGAGGAUGGAAGGAAAAAAUCGAGCGAAAAUCUGAGGGCAUUUCAAUUGUUUCUUCCUUUGGAGGUCAUUGGAAUCGACACCUGGGCUUUGGAUCCAGGUUUAGCUCGCUAAUGCUGCCCGCAGUGCUCCUAAUGUUUUUCUUGCCGAGGGGAAGGUCGAUCCCUUGUAUCCAGAUUUAGUGGUUGACCCUCUAGAUAUCCGUGUCCCCUUAGCAAGCUGCCUCAUCAAUUGCCACCGGGGCAGUGCGUAAUGGUCUUUCGCAAGAAUUGGGUGUUGGUCUUGCUUCAGAACGGCAGAAUAAAGAAAGGGCACCCACCACAAAUGAACCCUUUUGUUUGCAAGCUGCGCUAGGGAUUUCAUUGGCACCCUGGAUUACAUUUUUCGCAAGGGUGAGAUUGUUUUUUGUCGAUUCUUCGCCUUCCAUGGGGGGCUAGUUUAAAGGUUUCUAAUGAAGAUAUUUGCACAUCUAAGUCUCUGUAAUGUCUACCUGGAAAUGAGCUCACCGUUGUAUGAAUAUUUCUUUUUGUUGCUGCUGUAACGGCGGAGUCCUUACUAAAGCUCUUGGAUGAGGAGAGCUUGAGGGAAGACGCAGCCCUUCCUUCUCCAGAGUGGUCUUGGGAUCAUAUAGCUUUGUUAGCUGAAUCUCGCUGCAAUCCUAGACCCAGACGUUGAUGUUCCAGCAUUUGUAGAUCACGCCAGAGACACCAGGGAAAGUUAUAAAGAAGCAAAUGACUCGACAGCACUCACUUGUUAUAAGAAUGGUACAUAUUCUUUCUGCAAUCUUCCUCCAGUUGGGGAUCCCUGCUGUGAUCUUUUUAUAUCAUGCCCUCAUUUUUUAGUCCACAGAGAAAUGACAGUUCCCCCUUUAGAUGCGUUUUAUUCUCUUUUGGGGCUAACAGAAAGAGAGAGAAAUUUGCUUAGGAAUGUCCAUUUGCUCUUUUGCGUGUACUAGAAGAUCCUCAAGUACUUCAGACUUGAGAGGUAUUUCAGACUUGAGAGCGCGCGGGCGAGAGAGAGAGAGAGAGAGAGAGAGAGAGUUGAGAGUUCGUAGGAACUCUUCUUUAUGCGCCUAUGAUCAAUUGAAAUUAUCGUUGUUUUCAGUUUUCAGUUUGUAAAAGAUUUGACUUAUUUGAUGCCGCAUCCCCUAAUUAAGUAAUUAGUGAAGAAGUAUGACGAAUAGUGCAGGUAUGACUUAGGUAAAGUACGAACUCUGUCAUACUGAUUGACUUAAAAUAGAGGAACUUUGAGUGAUUUGUAUAGGGCGCACACAAAUGGUGGUUAGCAACACCAUAGAAUUGACAGUUGGAAAAUGGGGGUAGCUAACUCAUUUUUUUGUAUUAAACUUUUGAACCAUCUGAAGUGAGUAAGCUUGUAUGUUUACUUUUGUAGUUGUUGUUAAUAGGCCUUUAAUGAGCUGACUAUUAGUGUUGUAAUUUUUUCGAAUUGGAUCUACAG